UCUUUGUUUCUUCAUACGUGGACACUCUACAAUUCUUUUGUUUCUUUUUCAGACGCUCUCAGCUCUCUCCCUAUUUCUCCAAUACACUCUCUCCAAACGUCUCCUGCGGCAAUAAAAGAAACGAAAAAAAACGGAUGAUCUCAAAGCCCUUUUUUGUUCUACGUUUGCUGCUCCCCUUCUCUAUUUCCAUCUCCCAAUUAAACAUGCCCGUUUCCAUAUCCCACAAAAUCGACAAUCGAUUCUGCGGAGCUGUUGUUCCUCUGGUGUUUACGUGCUUGAUUGUCAUAGCCCACAAAAGUUGCAACCAAUUGAUGCUCCCUUUGUUGCUUCCUUGCUUGGUUUCCAUACCCUACAAAAUCUACAAUCGAUUCUGCGGAGUGGAGCUGUUGUCCGUUUGGUGUUUCCGUGCUCGAUUUCCAUAGCCCACCGAUUGAGUCGGCAAAAAUCCUUGAAUCUCUAUUUCAGUUUCGUAAAGGGGAAAAUAUUCGAAUUCAUAGCCCAUCGAAUACCGUCUUCUCCAUCAAAUUAAAGGCAACCAAAGGAGACGACUAAAGCAGUAAUAAUAUUUGACAACUCACCUAUAUUUCAAUGAGAAGAACGUUUGGUAGCCAUGCUUAGCUGCACUAAUCAUAAUAUUUAUGAUUAGGUCUUCAGGUGGUGGUGGUUCUGGCCUUCUAGGUUUGUGAUCUGGAUCAAAAUCAGAAUAAAGGAGUGAUUCCUUAUAAAGUUGGUCCCGAAGUUAGCUUUUUGGAGGGAAUCAUUUGCAUUAUUUGUGAACUUCUCCCUUAUUUUCUUGAGCACCCAGUGCCAUAAUUCUGUACAAUCAGCCCCCUAAUUUUUUCCGUCCUGCUUCGCUUGAAGAAAAAAGAAUAAGAUUAGAGAAACAUCUUACUUAGCCUACCUCAUGUUCAUGAUUGUGUUAGCAAUGGAACCAUCGGAUUGGACAACCAUCUUUUUCAUGGAACUUUAUUUACCACCCAAGUUGGUGUUGAUGUUCUAUUAAAGUCAAAUAGACCAUCGCUUAUUGUUAGCAGUGCAAGCUGGUCCGGGAUUGGUCUCUUCUCUAAGAUCCCCAUUUGGCACCUUUGAUUUGAUUUUUGUUUCUGCAAUCGUUUCAAUUAAUAUGGAGUUUCCUAAUUUGGCCGUUGCUACAAUGUAUGUUUGGACUUGCUCCAACUCUCAAAUGCGCAGGAUUGAAUUAUUAAUCUCCUCUGACCUUCUUUUGGCUUCUCCAUCUCUGAUAUUUAGUCCAGGCAUUCAAUAUUUGUGGGUGGCCGAUUUCCCAUGUUUGAAUGGAAUGAUCCACAACAAAGAUGUGAGGUUUAUCUCAUCUCAUAUCUUCUGCAACGUUGAUAAAAUAACUUUCUGGCUUUCUGCUUAUUGAACACUUUAUAAGGAUUCUUUUUGGAAGAGAAGGUACAUCAGUCAAGCAUAAAGAUUUACAAUGAUUUUCUUUUACCUAUUUACGGUGUGGUAAACAUUGGUACUUAGAAGGGUCUGUCAUUGCACUGCUUCUUUUAGAAAUUGAUAUUUUUCCUGACGUUGGAACCUAUAGGCCAUUGCAAUUACUUGACACGAGAAUCUCCAUAAAGAGAAUGCAUGGUCCUUAUAAUAUUUGAAGGUUUUGAUGGUAGCCAGUGAUUAGUGGGAUAUGUGUCAGAGAAGCACCAAAGGUUAGUGAACUGAUAUGUUGAUUACUAAUGCAUGUAGUAACAAAAGACAUUGGAUGGCUCCAUUUCUAUGUUGGGCCCCCUUCUUUAGUAAUCAGGAAAAGAGAAGGUCAAAACCUCAUGUUUGUAGUAUGCUAUGAUGUGUUCCUGGAUUUUGCUCAUUUCAGCCAUUCAACUCAACAUGCCUUGGAUGCACUACUGCUUGAUUUUUUGCUCUAUGUAGUGGUGCUGUCAGCCUAUCAAUUCUUCUGCGCAAGUGAGGGCAGGAAAAAGACCUUCAAGGUAUUCCAUGGGAGAGAUUGAACAUAACGACACAAGUGUAUGGGUUGACGAGGCUUGAUCAGUAAAAGAAUUGCAAGAACAUUCCUUCAUCAAAGUAAGUUGUGGACAAGACUCAUAUUUACUUUUCUUAAUAUCUGUUUUGGUCCUUAUCUGAUUUGCAGGCAUGAAAUAAUGGUAAAUAUAUGUAGUUAGCUAAUUUGAUUCAGGUGUAUUACACUAACCAUAGAUAUAACGGGUUGCAAAUAUGGCAGCACCAAAUGUUUCUGGUCUUCAUGAACUUGGUUGGCUCUCUAAUUUUAUCUCUAAUUUUAUGGUGUGCCACUACAUAUUAGGAGAAAUUUUUGGACUUUUGUUAAUGUGAUUCUAGAUAGAUUCUUUCUAAAUGGUAAACGUAUGAAUUUUGCUAUUUCAUAAUCUGUUCAUGUAAGAAUGCAUAUUAUUUGAAAAAAAAAAUUCGAUGAGCUACGAGUGUAGCAUAUCAGAAACCAGGGAUGUAGAUUGGACAAACAUUCAGGGAGAUAACGAUUUGAAUUAGUAUGGUACUAUUUUCAAUAAAUAAUUAUUAAAAAUCAAUUCGACAAUCACAAUAAUUAAUUUUUUUUUCCAUAUCACAACGUGUGAAACUUUAACAAAAAAAUU